rnacentral:rRNA from 1 species
GGCGGCAUGCCUAAACACAUGCAAGUCGAACGAUGUCUUCGGACAUAGUGGCGCACGGUGCGUAACGCGUGGGAAUCUGCCUUGGGUACGGAAUAACUCAGAGGAAAUUUGAGCUAAUACCGUAUGAUGUCUUCGGACCAAAGAUUUAUCGCCCUGAGAUGAGCCCGCGUUGGAUUAGCUAGUUGGUGGGGUAAAGGCCUACCAAGGCGACGAUCCAUAGCUGGUCUGAGAGGAUGAUCAGCCACACUGGGACUGAGACACGGCCCAGACUCCUACGGGAGGCAGCAGUGGGAAUAUUGGACAAUGGGGAAACCCUGAUCCAGCAAUGCCGCGUGAGUGAUGAAGGCCUUAGGGUUGUAAAGCUCUUUUACCCGGGAAGAUAAUGACUGUACCGGGAGAAUAAGCCCCGGCUAACUCCGUGCCAGCAGCCGCGGUAA